rnacentral:rRNA from 1 species
UACGGAAGGUCCGGGCGUUAUCCGGAUUUAUUGGGUUUAAAGGGAGCGUAGGCCGGAGAUUAAGCGUGUUGUGAAAUGUAGACGCUCAACGUCUGCACUGCAGCGCGAACUGGAGUCCUUGAGUGCGCGGAACGUAUGCGGAAUUCGUGGUGUAGCGGUGAAAUGCUUAGAUAUCACGAAGAACCCCGAUUGCGAAGGCAGCAUACGGCAGCGCAACUGACGCUGAAGCUCGAAAGUGCGGGUAUCGAACAGG